rnacentral:rRNA from 1 species
UACGGAGGGUGCAAGCGUUGUCCGGAUUUAUUGGGUUUAAAGGGUGCGUAGGUGGCCUUGCAAGUCCGUGGUGAAAGCCUGCUGCUCAACAGCAGAACUGCCAUGGAUACUACAGGGCUUGAGUCCAGACGAGGUUGGCGGAAUGGAAGAUGUAGCGGUGAAAUGCAUAGAUAUCUUCCAGAACCCCGAUUGCGUAGGCAGCUGACUAGGCUGGUACUGACACUGAGGCACGAAAGCGUGGGGAGCGAACAGG